rnacentral:rRNA from 1 species
AUUGAACGCUGGCGGCAUGCUUUACACAUGCAAGUCGAACGGUAACAGGUUAAGCUGACGAGUGGCGAACGGGUGAGUAAUGCAUCGGAACGUGCCCGGUCGUGGGGGAUAACGCAGCGAAAGCUGCGCUAAUACCGCAUACGAUCUGAGGAUGAAAGCGGGGGACCGUAAGGCCUCGCGCGAUCGGAGCGGCCGAUGUCAGAUUAGGUAGUUGGUGGGGUAAAGGCUCACCAAGCCAACGAUCUGUAGCUGGUCUGAGAGGACGACCAGCCACACUGGGAAUGAGACACGGCCCAGACUCCGACGGGGGGCAGCAGUGGGAGAUUUUGGACAAUGAGCGAAAGCCUGAUCCAGCAAUGCCGCGUGCAGGAAGAAGGCCUUCGGGUUGUAAACUGCUUUUGAACGGAGCUAAAAGGUCUCCUCUAAUACAGGGGGCUCAUGACGGUACCGUAAGAAUAAGCACCGGCUAACUACGUGCCAGCAGCCGCCGUAA